rnacentral:rRNA from 1 species
AUCCGGUGGCAACACUGGUGAAGACCUAGUGGCGAACGGGUGAGUAACACGUGACUAACCUACCUUCGAGUGGGGGAUAACAUCGGGAAACCGAUGCUAAUACCGCAUAACAUCGCAAGAUCAAAGCAGCAAUGCGCUGGAAGAGGGGGUCGCGGCUGAUUAGCUAGUUGGCGGGGUAACGGCCCACCAAGGCGAAGAUCGGUAUCCGGCCUGAGAGGGCGCACGGACACACUGGAACUGAAACACGGUCCAGACUCCUACGGGAGGCAGCAGUGGGGAAUUUUGCGCAAUGGGGGAAACCCUGACGCAGCAACGCCGCGUGGAGGAUGAAGCCCCUUGGG